rnacentral:rRNA from 1 species
GAUGAACGCUAGCGGCAGGCUUAAUACAUGCAAGUCGAGGGACAGCACAGGUAGCAAUACUGGGUGGUAACCGGCAAACGGGUGCGGAACACGUACACAACCUUCCUUUAAGUGGGGGAUAGCCCAGAGAAAUUUGGAUUAAUACCCCGUAAUAUAGUUGAGUGGCAUCAUUUGAUUAUUAUAGCUACGGCGCUUAAUGAUGGGUGUGCGGCUGAUUAGAUAGUUGGCGGGGUAACGGCCCACCAAGUCUACGAUCAGUAGCUGAUGUGAGAGCAUGAUCAGCCACACGGGCACUGAGACACGGGCCCUACUCCUACGGGAGGCAGCAGUAAGGAAUAUUGGUCAAUGGACGCAAGUCUGAACCAGCCAUGCCGCGUGAAGGAUUAAGGUCCUCUGGAUUGUAAACUUCUUUUAUUUGGGACGAAAAAGGGCCUUUCUAGGUCAACUGACGGUACCAGAUGAAUAAGCACCGGCUAACUCCGUGCCAGCAGCCGCCGUAAAAC